rnacentral:rRNA from 1 species
CAAGUAAUUAAGUGCAUGUGGUGGAUGCCUUGGCAGUCAGAGGCGAUGAAAGACGUGAUAGCCUGCGAAAAGCUCCGGGGAGGCGGCAAAUAUCCUUUGAUCCGGAGAUGUCUGAAUGGGGGAACCCACCUACUUUAAGGUAGGUAUUGCAACAUGAAUACAUAGUGUUGCAAGGCGAACGAGGGGAAGUGAAACAUCUCAGUACCCUUAGGAAAAGAAAUCAAUUGAGAUUCCCUCAGUAGCGGCGAGCGAACGGGGAUCAGCCCAUUAAGUUAUGUGUGUUUUAGUGGAACGCUCUGGGAAGUGCGAACGUAGAGGGUGAUAUUCCCGUACACGAAAGGGCACACAUAAUGAUGACGAGUAGGGCGAGGCACGUGAAACCUUGUCUGAAUAUGGGGGGACCAUCCUCCAAGGCUAAAUACUCCUGACUGACCGAUAGUGAACCAGUACCGUGAGGGAAAGGCGAAAAGAACCCCUGUGAGGGGAGUGAAAUAGAUCCUGAAACCGCAUGCAUACAAGCAGUGGGAGCACCUUCGUGGUGUGACUGCGUACCUUUUGUAUAAUGGGUCAGCGACUUAUAUUCAGUAGCGAGGUUAACCGUAUAGGGGAGCCGUAGAGAAAUCGAGUCUUAAUAGGGCGUUUAGUUGCUGGGUAUAGACCCGAAACCAGGCGAUCUAUCCAUGAGCAGGUUGAAGGUUGGGUAACACUAACUGGAGGACCGAACCCACUGUCGUUGAAAAGCCAGGGGAUGACUUGUGGAUAGGGGUGAAAGGCUAAUCAAGCCUGGUGAUAGCUGGUUCUCCCCGAAAGCUAUUUAGGUAGCGCCUCGGACGAAUACCAUAGGGGGUAGAGCACUGUUUCGGCUAGGGGGUCAUCCCGACUUACCAAACCGAUGCAAACUCCGAAUACCUAUGAGUACUAUCCGGGAGACAGACUGCGGGUGCUAACGUCCGUAGUCAAGAGGAAAACAAUCCAGACCGCCAGCUAAGGCCCCAAAAUCAUAGUUAAGUGGGAAACGAUGUGGGAAGGCAUAGACAGCUAGGAGGUUGGCUUAGAAGCAGCCACCCUUUAAAGAAAGCGUAAUAGCUCACUAGUCGAGUCGGCCUGCGCGGAAGAUGUAACGGGGCUAAAACUAUGUGCCGAAGCUGCGGAUGUAUACUUUGUAUACGUGGUAGGGGAGCGUUCUGUAAGCCGAUGAAGGUGUGUUGAGAAGCAUGCUGGAGGUAUCAGAAGUGCGAAUGCUGACGUGAGUAACGACAAAACGGGUGAAAAACCCGUUCGCCGAAAGACCAAGGGUUCCAGUCCAACGUUAAUCGGGGCUGGGUGAGUCGACCCCUAAGGCGAGGCCGAAAGGCGUAGUCGAUGGGAAAAUGGUUAAUAUUCCAUUACUUCUGUGUAAUGCGAUGAGAGGACGGAGAAGGCUAAAUCAGCCUGGCGUUGGUUGUCCAGGUGAAAGGAUGUAGGCAUGUAUCUUAGGCAAAUCCGGGGUACUCUAUGCUGAGAUCUGAUAGCAAGCUGUACUUGUACAGCGAAGUGGUUGAUGCCAUGCUUCCAGGAAAAGUCUCUAAGCUUCAGUUACACAGGAAUCGUACCCGAAACCGACACAGGUGGUCAGGUCGAGUAGACCAAGGCGCUUGAGAGAACUCUGCUGAAGGAACUAGGCAAAAUGGUACCGUAACUUCGGGAGAAGGUACGCUGUUGUUGGUGAUGGAACUCGCUUCCUGAGCUGACGACAGCCGCAGAAACCAGGCCGCUGCAACUGUUUAUUAAAAACAUAGCACUCUGCAAACACGAAAGUGGACGUAUAGGGUGUGAUGCCUGCCCGGUGCUGGAAGGUUAAUUGAUGGGGUUAGCGUAAGCGAAGCUCUUGAUCGAAGCCCCAGUAAACGGCGGCCGUAACUAUAACGGUCCUAAGGUAGCGAAAUUCCUUGUCGGGUAAGUUCCGACCUGCACGAAUGGCAUAAUGAUGGCGGCGCUGUCUCCAGCAGAGGCUCAGUGAAAUCGAAAUCGCUGUGAAGAUGCAGUGUACCCGCGGCUAGACGGAAAGACCCCGUGAACCUUUACUGCAGCUUGACACUGAACUUUGACCUUACUUGUGUAGGAUAGGUGGGAGGCUUUGAAGCUGGAACGCUAGUUCCAGUGGAGCCGUCCUUGAAAUACCACCCUGGUAAUGUUGAGGUUCUAACUCUGUCCCGUGAUCCGGGACGAGGACCGUGUCUGGUGGGUAGUUUGACUGGGGCGGUCUCCUCCUAAAGAGUAACGGAGGAGUACGAAGGUGCGCUCAGCGUGGUCGGAAAUCACGCGUAGAGUAUAAAGGCAAAAGCGCGCUUAACUGCGAGACCCACAAGUCGAGCAGGUACGAAAGUAGGUCUUAGUGAUCUGGUGGUUCUGUAUGGAAGGGCCAUCGCUCAACGGAUAAAAGGUACUCUGGGGAUAACAGGCUGAUACCGCCCAAGAGUUCAUAUCGACGGCGGUGUUUGGCACCUCGAUGUCGGCUCAUCUCAUCCUGGGGCUGAAGCAGGUCCCAAGGGUAUGGCUGUUCGCCAUUUAAAGAGGUACGCGAGCUGGGUUUAGAACGUCGUGAGACAGUUCGGUCCCUAUCUACGGUGGGCGCUGGAAAUUUGAGAGGAUCUGCUCCUAGUACGAGAGGACCAGAGUGGACGAACCUCUGGUGUACCGGUUGUGACGCCAGUCGCAUCGCCGGGUAGCUAUGUUCGGAAGGGAUAACCGCUGAAAGCAUCUAAGCGGGAAGCCUACCUCAAGAUAAGAUUUCCCUAGGACUUUAUGUCCUCUAAAGAGCCGUUCGAGACUAGGACGUUGAUAGGUUGGAUGUGGAAGCAUAGUGAUAUGUGAAGCUGACCAAUACUAAUUGCUCGUGAGGCUUGACUA